rnacentral:lncRNA from 1 species
GAGAUUUAAAUGAACUGAAAUGUUACAUAGCGUUUUGAUCUUUACAUGAUUAUCAAAAAAAAUAUUUCCUAAAUCCAGUAGCUCUAAGUGCAAAAGGAACAACACUUGAACUAGCCAGACCAAUAAUUAAAACUUACUAUUAAUUAUACAUAUAAAAGGAAAAUGCAGUCAAAUGUCCAGUUAUUACUUAUUGAAGCAGUCCCAAAUGUCCAAUUAUUACAAAAAAAUAGACCAGUCUAACAUUUAACUACAACAUGAUGAUGAUCUUAUUAUUACACCUAUAUUCAAACUAAAUAAGGGGAAAAUGGGGAUAUAAUUAAAAAAAUGUAGAUAACAGAUGGAGAUCUUCACACUUGGGAAUACAUUUCACUUGAACUUCAUAUUUAAAUGAACAUCGAGUGUACCUGUAAUGCAGCAAUGGACAAUAGCCUAUGAGUAAGGGAAGGCGAGCAAGAAGCAAAACAACAUCUAACAACCAGCACACCUAGGGUUUUCAGCAGAGUCUUUGAGAGAAUCAAAUCUCCAAAAUGAUCAAAACAGCAUUGAUAGUUUUUCAUAGAUAUCAGAAGAGCUAAUAUGUAUUUUUAUCUAUAUGAUUCAAAGAAAAGGUUUCAGAUCCUUUAAAAUGUGCUUAGGUGCUUUCUUGUAUAAUGGGGUCGUAGGGCAUCAACUUUUCUCUUGUCUUUUCUUUUAGUCCUUGCUUCAAUUUGCACUUUUCCUAAAUGGUCCUUCAUUUUCUGACUUGUGCCUCAAGUUUGAGGCUGAAAUUGCGUUUUAAUCCCUCACUAGAAUGUUCUAGGGGAUUACUAUCAGAUUCCUUAAGGUUCAAAUCCCUCUUAUACCCCUAUUUCCUUUCCGAAAUUACCUACCUGACGUUUUAUUCUCAGUUUUUCCUUGACCCUGGUUUAGUUACAAUUGACCCUGGUCAAUCAAGUUUGGGUCACUCUUAAUCUUGGACUAACAUGCUUAUCAAGGUUUAAAAUCAGCCACAACUACCAGGUUUUAAAACAAAUGCCUCAAUGUAGACUUACAACACACAAACAUUAUUCCGGAUUGUCAAAACAAAGGAUCAAAAUAACCAGAAGAAUGAAUAUAUCUAUUAACACUUAAAUUUUAAGAAAUAGCUCAAUCAAAAUACAUAAAAAUGAGAAGCACAUAGCAGGGGAUGAGUACUUAGUUCAUGAGCAAAAUUAGGAAUCAAGUAAAGGUUCAGCGAGAAGGAAUAGCUUAAUUAUGCAUAAGUACUGAAGAUCAAAGUUAUUGUGAGAUGAGAAUCAAGAACUCAGUAGCAAAAACAAACUAAUCAAACUAAUUAGAAUCAUCAGGGAACAAAACAAUGAGAAUCAUGAGAUGAAGGUCAACAACCACAGAAAUCAUACUAUUGAAGGGUCAACAACUAGGCUUUCAAAAUCAAGGAGCCAGUAUUAACAGGGUAUCAACUUAUUCAGGAGAGGAAGGGAGUUCAAAAUAACAACCAAAAGGCAUAUAACUACUGAAACUAUUUCAUAUGUGAUUAUAGAAAAGCAAGCAAUUAAUCAAAGAGGAAGCAAAUAUAUAUAAGCCAGGGCAGAAUAAUUAGCUUUUUUUAUGCAAAAAUCUCCAUGGGACCAUUCCGUUGAUUCCUGAUUUUUGUAGAGGCUUUCUAUCCUCCUAGGACACUGGUGUGAUGUAUAACAAGCUUAGGAUUUCAAGAUAAGGCCUUUUAUGAUUCUGAGACCCCGGUGAGGUCUCAGAUCUAAUUUUCUUCGGUAGCUAGUGUUGUUUGGGGGUCAUGGGUCGCAUGGUUGGGGAAAGGAAGGGCCAGAGAUUGCCUAGGAGGAAUUUUACCGAGUUCCGACAGCUUUUGAGUUUUAGGGUUAGGCUUUGAAUCGAUCUUCAAAGGGUUUCGGGCAGAUUCAAAUGAGAUGACACACAUGGUUGGAAAUAGGAGAUCAAGCUGCCUCAGGGGUGUAUGUUUGGAAGGUUUAGGAAUAGGGUCGUCAGAGACGGUGGUUCCGACGACCUUGUUUACAAAUAUUCGAGAGGGAUGGGGUUUGUUCGACGGGAACUAACUACCUGGUGGGGUAUAGGAGGUGGUGACGGUUUAGUGGUGUAAAUCUGGGGAUGUUUGGUUGCCGGCCGCCUCCGUGAGGUGAUUUCUGGUGGCGGUGUUAAGGUGGUAGGCUGGUGGUCAAGGGGUGGUCAAAAGGUGUUCGAGGGUGGUGCUAUGUCCGAGAAGAUGGUACGAGGAAGGGGGAGGUUUGGUCUCUAUUGUACUAGAGACGUUUGGACAUAUGUAUAUUAUUUUGGUGGGGGUUUGUUGACCGUUGGAUGGUGUGAGAUCAACCGUCGUAGUGGCUGGGCUCUUACAUGGUGUCGUUUGGUUUGGUACUGUGUGGACUGGACCAGGGUCGGUCAUUUGGGCUAGGGAUGUGUAUUUUUAGAAGGGGAAAAGAUUUGGGCCACUCAGGUCUGGCCUAAUUAUGGCCAGCCUGAGUGGCUGUGUAUAUAUAUACAUAUAUUUUUUGUCUUUUCCUUUUUUAUUUUAAUUAAUUUCUAGCUUUAUUUAAAAACCAAAAAUCCCUAACUAUCACAAAUAAAAACUGCAAUAAGUUGAAAUUAAAUAAAAAUAAUUACAAAUACCAGAAAAAAAAAUAUAUAUAUAUAUAUUGUAUAUUAAUUUGUAAAACAAGUUAAAUUCCAAACAAUUUUAAAUAUGCAUUAACAAGCACGCACUCGCACACGAUCAAAUUCUAAAAAAUUGAAAAAUUAAAUUUAAAGAAAAGCCUAAAUUUUGAGAGUCCUGUAGGAACUUAUUUCAACCGGGUAAAAAUCAUAUGCUCACAUAAAUCUAUAAAUAUAGAUAUAGUUCUUAACUCACAAAAGAAGAAAUAUUUCAAACAUGGAAUAUUCUUCAAAAGUUAAUCUUGAGGUAGUGGCCUCUAUACAUGUAGUAUCUAUAUAAAAGGUCCUAAAUUUUAUCAUAUUUAGACACGAACUCUGUGACGCAAAACGCUUUUAAAACUUAUUACUAAACAUAAAACAAGUCAAUCUAAACACCCAAAUAGUUAAUUUCUAACAAUAUAUUUUCUAUGGCAUUUAUACUAAAACAUAAAAAUUGGGAUAUAUGUUGAGGCAUAAAAAAUGAGAGUGCAGACGUCGUAACUUUUAAUAUAUGGAGUGAAGAGAAACAUUUGGUACAUGCUAGACAAAUACAACACCAUAACUUUGACAAAAGAAAAGAGGAAAUUAUAAAAUACUUAAAAAUAAAAGGCCAUUUUAUCAAUCACUAAUAAGAUAAUUGCCAGAAGCCUAUUCAUGCUUUAUUGAACUCUUAUUUUGAUUUAACCAAAUACCUGUAACUUCAUAGCUUCUACAGAAGUUGGCUUUUGCGAUGUAGUAAACUUGGGCAUGUCAAAUAGAUCUAUAGAUUCUGGCUUCAGACUUGAACUCAAGCUUACAACCGCAAACUUUAUAAUUUCCGAAAAAAAGUGCGAACAAACAUUUCUCUGUUAUAGCAAGGAGUAACAGAGGCCACGCAGCUAUGAAUUUUAGAGUAUCUUGAAAAACAAAAUUAUUUUGAAGAUGGCUCCAAAGUUGUCCUAAAUAAUUACCAACGCUCUCUAUUUAUAGAAGAAUUACUAGGGCUUUUCUAGGAUUAAUUUGAGCUGGAUUCUUGAAUGAUUCGGAUUUCAAACGGCUCAAGAACCAUUUUUAAUUGCAUGUAGCAAGAAAACAAAGAAGAUAUCGGCAGAGGCAACAAAGAUUCAGUUGCCAAAAUUGUGAAAUCUUGGAGGAAACAAAAAAGAACCCUUUUUACCUUUGUUAACUUCAUUGUAAAUAGUAAAUGAAUUUUGAACUCUUCCAUAAAAUUGCUUUGAGUUUACAGAUGAUUCCUCAAAAUAACCACAUAAAUUUCUGAUUAUAUGAUUUGAGAGUCAAAUUUGCUAAGAAAAUAGAAGGAGCCAAAACGAUUCUGCCA